UGGGGCCCCCUUAGUUAACGGCGAGUGAAGCGGCAGUAGCUCAAAUUUGAAAUCGUGCCCCCGUAACUGGGUGACGAGUUGUAAUCUCCAGAGGAUGCUUCGGUACGGUCACCGGUUUAAGUCCCUUGGAACAGGGCGUCAUAGAGGGUGAGAAUCCCGUUUAUGGCCGGGUCGAACCAAACCAAAUGAAGCUCCCUCGAAGAGUCGAGUUGUUUGGGAAUGCAGCUCUAAAUGGGAGGUAAAUUCCUUCUAAAGCUAAAUACCGGCCAGAGACCGAUAGCGCACAAGUAGAGUGAUCGAAAGAUGAAAAGCACUUUGGAAAGAGAGUUAAAAAGUACGUGAAAUUGUUGAAAGGGAAGCGCUCGCAACCAGACUCAGGCGCGGGUGUUCAAACAGCCUUCUGGCAGUUGCACUCAUCCGCAAACGUCUGGGCCAGCAUCAGUUCGGGUGGCCGGAUAAAGGCCCCAGGAAUGUGGCACCUCUCGAGGUGUGUUAUAGCCUGGGGUACAAUACGGCUUGCUUCUGGACUGAGGACCGCGCUUUAUUGCUAGGAUGCUGGCGUAAUGGUUGUGAGCGGCCCGUCUUGAAACACGGACCAAGGAGUCUAACAUCUAUGCGAGUGUUUGGGUGUCAAACCCAUGCGCGUAAUGAAAGUGAACGUAGGUGGGAACCUUCGGGUGCACCAUCGACCGAUCCCUAUGUCAUCGGAUGGAUUUGAGUACGAGCAUAGCUGUUGGGACCCGAAAGAUGGUGAACUAUGCCUGAAUAGGGUGAAGCCAGAGGAAACUCUGGUGGAGGCUCGCAGCGGUUCUGACGUGCAAAUCGAUCGUCAAUUUGGGUAUAGGGGCGAAAGACUAAUCGAACCAUCUAGUAGCUGGUUCCUGCCGAAGUCCCCCUUCAGAUA
rnacentral:rRNA from 1 species